UUUUACUUUGUUUGCAUCAAU
rnacentral:piRNA from 1 species